UACGUAGGGUGCGAGCGUUAAUCGGAAUUACUGGGCGUAAAGAGUGCGUAGGCGGUUCGUUAUGUCUGCUGUGAAAGCCCCGGGCUUAACCCGGGAAUGGCAGUGGAAACUGGCGGGCUUGAGUGUGGCAGAGGGGGGUGGAAUUCCGCGUGUAGCAGUGAAAUGCGUAGAGAUGCGGAGGAACACCGGUGGCGAAGGCGGGUCUCUGGGCAGUAACUGACGCUGAGGCGCGAAAGCGUGGGGAGCAAACAGG
rnacentral:rRNA from 1 species